rnacentral:misc_RNA from 1 species
CUUACUCCCAAGAGAGAAGAAUCUGAUAUUGAGAAAGAGGCCUGGAGAUUGUUACGCGAGGCUGUUGUGACAUAUUGUGGAAGUCCGGUUGGGACCAUGGCUGCAAAUGACCCAGCUGAUAAGCAACCAUUGAAUUAUGAUCAGGUCUUCAUUCGAGAUUUCGUUCCUUCCGCCCUUGCAUUCCUGCUGAACGGUGAAGGG